UUCUCCACUAUGGUGGACCACAGCCGAGGAUGGUUUUGCACCAUGAAGGUGCUCACCACGGCAUUGCUUCUAGUCACCCUGCAGUGUUCCCAUGCCCUGAGUCCCACCAACUGUGAUGCCUCCAAGCCUUUGGCUGAGAAAGUUCUAGACUUGAUCAAUAAAGGGCGGAGGAGUGGCUAUACUUUUCAGCUGCUGCGGGUCUCUGAUGCCCACUUGGACAGAGUGGAAACUGCCACCAUCUACUACUUAGUUUUAGAUGUGGUAGAAUCUGACUGUUGGGUCCUCUCCACAAAAGCCCAGGAUGAGUGUCUUCCAGCCAUGAGGACAUCUGAGGUUGUGAUUGGACAGUGUAAGGUAAUAGCCACAAGAUACUCCAAUGAGUCUCAAGAUCUUAGCGUGAAUGGCUAUAACUGCACCAUGAGAUCCGUCUCUUCGGCAUAUAUCAACACCAAAGACAGUCCUGUACUAGUGGACUCAUUUGAGGAUUCCGAGCCCUACAGAAAGCUAGCCCGUAAAGCCCUCGACAAGUACAAAGCGGAGAAUGGUGACUUUGCCUCAUUCAGAGUGGAAAGGGCUGAAAGGGUUAUAAGAAUGAGAGGAGGGGAAAGAACCAGCUACUUCAUAGAAUUCUCGGUGAGGAACUGUUCCACACAACACUUCCCCAGACACCCUCCGGUCUUUGGAUUGUGCAGAGUAGUUUUGACCUACAGUACAGAAGCCUCUGACUUGGAAACCCCAGAAUACACUGACCUGAUCUGUGAAGUCUUCAACACUGAGGAUCUUAAAAACAGGAGUGACAUGAAACCCCAUCGGGGCCAUGAGCAUCCUCAUUGUGACAAACAUCUGUGUAAGCUCAGUGGACCCAGGGACCAUCAUCAUACCCAUAAGACACAUGAAAUUGGAUGCCCACCACCACCAGAAGGAAAAGAUAACUCAGACAGACCACCCCUUCAAGAAGGAGCCCUUCCACAAAUGCUCCCUGGCCAUUCUGGUCCUUCUGGUACCAACAGGAGCCAUAGACCCCCUCAUAAUCACAGUUGUAAUGAGCAUCCGUGCCAUGGACAGCAUCCCCAUGGACACCACCCUCAUGGUCAGCAUCCCCAUGGACACCACCCUCAUGGUCAGCAUCCCCAUGGACACCACCCUCAUGGUCAGCAUCCCCAUGGACACCACCCCCAUGGUCACCAUCCUCAUGGUGACCAUCCCCAUGGACACCACCCCCAUGGACAUGAUUUCCUUGACUAUGGACCUUGUGACCCACCCUCCAAUAGCCAAGAACUCAAGGGUCAGUAUCAUCGGGGACAUGGUCCACCACACGGACACUCAAGGAAAAGAGGGCCAGGUAAAGGACUCUUUCCUUUCCACCAACGACAAAUCGGAUAUGUCUACCGACUCCCUCCACUGAAUGUAGGUGAAGUUCUCACUCCUCCUGAAGCCAAUUUCCCCAUCUUCUCUUUGCCAAAUUGCAACAGACCCCCACAACCAGAGAUUCGGCCCUUCC
rnacentral:lncRNA from 1 species